ensembl:lncRNA
AUAGGCUUCUGGCAUUUCACAAUAUUGAGUUGAUUUAAUAUGUUAUUUGAAUUUUCACUUUUAGAUAGAACACUGAAUAUAGCCAUGCUGUAGGAGAUCUCCUCUGGAUGCCAAGAUCAAUAUUACAUCAAGCCUAUGAACCUGUUUUGGAGUUACAGAACCCAUAAAUAUUUGGAGUGUAACGAAUUUCCAACAUAAAAUAUUUUUAAAAAACUUCAAUCAAUGUCUGUUUCAAAAAAGAUUCACUUGGAAUGAGGUGAGGAAGAGACAAAACCAAUGGAUCCUCAGGUGGCAAAUAUGAUAAGGAACAUCACUGGCUUUUGGAUAAUAUCACAUAUAUAUUGUUCAUUCAUGUUUUUCGAAAUGAGACAAAGACUAAAGAAAAACGCUUUUAUGUGGCACAUGCAUGGGAUCCUGUCAGUGACUUAUUCAAUGGAAGUGUGUGUUUGUAUUUGUUAUUUGUGGACAAAGCACAGUUGUCCAGGAUUUAUUCUCAAGAAAGAUUGGGUGAACUGGUGUUCUUGGAUCCUCAUUUUGACCUUCUACAUGCUCAUAAUAAUGAUUGUUUUGAAAUUUUCCUCUAAAUAUAUUUCCUUUUAUUUAAUGAUACUGCUCUUUUCAGAGAAUUUCACCAAUACUGAGCACAUUAUCUUUUCGAUUUCUAUAUUUAGGGUAUUUUUUACAUGGUUUUUUUCCUUAUUAUUUAAAAAAUUCUCUAGGCUUCUCAGAAAUAAGGAGCUCUGUCCCAACCUUUCUGUGCAACUCUGAGCCUUGGUUUUGAGCACAAAGGUCUCUGUUUGCAGAGGGAAACUUUGACUGCUCUGUUCAGGAAACAGCCUAGUUUCACAGAGUUUGCCUUCUGAGCUGGGACUGGAAGCUGCCCCACUGAUUUGUUCUUAGAUUGAGGCAGGGCAGAGCGCCUUCAGUGUGAUUUGCUGUGAUUAAGAUCCUCUCACCAAACUUUCCCACAGUCUAUCUGAACUGGUCUGAACACACUUUUCACCCCAAUGAGACUGACUUUUUUUGAACUUUUUUUCAGUCUGUGUUGAGCUGGAAAGUAGGUUCAUUCCAUCAGACUCUGUUCAGAGGCUUGGUUUCAUGGGAUUUUCCAGGGAAACUGGGAGAACUGGAGCAGCUCCCUGAUUUUAUUCCACCAUCUUGGCUCCACCUCAGAAGUCUUUUUUUCCUAUUCUUAUUUAAAGGUUUAAGUUCCAAAUUCUGUCCCUCUUUUCCUUCUCUCCCCUCCCCAAGAUUGUAAGCAGUCAGAUAUAGUUUAUACAUGUGCAAUUAUGUAAGACUUCCAUAUUCGUCAUUUUAUACAAGAAGACUCAAAUGAAAGAAAAAAAGCAAUAAAGAGAUAAAUACCAUGUUUCACCCUGAAUUCAGCCAGUAUGAGUUUUUCUAUGAAGGUGGAUAGUAUGUUUUAUUAUUAUUCUUUUGCGAUUGUCUUCCAUUGUUGUCAAGAUGAAAAUAAGUAAGUCAUUCAAACUAAGUAUACUUUUAACUUGUGUUCAGCUUAUCUUCACGAGACAGUAGUUCAAGUAACUGGAACUUAUUCUUUAGACUUGCUGGCAUACAGAAAAUGACUAGACUGCCCUGGCAAUCAUCCAAGGUUUAUUCCCCAGAACCAGUGAUGCUCAAUUUGCUAGGAAAUGGGGGAGUACCAAGGGGAAGGCUAACAAAGAUGAAGCCAGAGGAAAGGGAGGGCCCAAGGAAGAAGGUAGACCAGGAGUCUUAGAACCUGAUCUGGAGGCAUCUAAGGAACAAAGUUGGGCUAUUUUGAAGAACAAGAUGUUUUUCUCCAUCUCUAUUCUCUCCCUCCAUCUUUUUUCUUUCUCUCCUCUCCUUGCUUAUCUUCUUCCUGCUCAUUCUCUGCUUCCUUCUUCCGUUUAAAGCUAGAACUAGCAUCCAAACUACAUAGGAUUCUGCCCUCAUUCCUAUAUCCUCCCCUGGAAUGGGCAGCAGGCAUUGCAUGCUACCUUCUGUGCUUUCUCUCUUCUAAUGCCAGCUGGUCCACAGUCUCACCAUCCUUCUGUGUGGUAUGGCAAAUGCUAAGUCAAAAUGACUUCUCAGAAGUCUCUCAAAGUGAAGAAUAGAAGCUUAUUCAGGAAUCUCAUGAAAACCAGACAUCCAAUAAACUGGGGUUCCCCAGGAAAAAUGAGAUCACCCCUUCAGAAGUCAGGGGAGAUUAUAUAGUCACAAGCCAUAAGAAAUCAUGACAAUGCCUCCCUCCCCUACAAAUCUGGUAGAUUCUCAUUAUCUUGCUUAAUACCUGGAAGUAACAUGGACUUGUUAAAUUUUGACCUGAAUUUUAUGAUGCUCAGUUUGACAAGUUUUACAACUGUUUUACUUUAUCCAAUAUGAGCACUCUAUUUCCCAAAUUCACCAGGUAGACUGAAUCUAAGCCAUAUAUUCAAUCUACCUUAGUUAAUGAUUUUAUAAGAAACCAUAUAAUUCCCUCACAAAGAGGACAUUUGUUUAGAGGUAAGUAAUCCAUUAAACUAGAAUAACCAAGGAGACUUGGUUUACCCCAGACUUCCUCAACAAAUAGAGAUUAUCCAGUUUAUAGACCCCUUAGAAUAUCUCCAGUUCAUUAAUUAGUUAGCUUCUUCUAAGAAGUUAAGUAGAGGUUCAGGAGGUCAAAUAUUUCUACUAGAAGAGCAAACUUUUUUUUUCUCCUUCCCAGAGUCCUAAUGAUUAACAGACCUUUGAAAUUGGGUCUGGAAUUAUCAGAGAUAUCCUCAGUUUCCUGUUACACUCACCUCCAACUCCCAAAACUUCAAGAUAGUCAUAUUCCUUCCCUGAGGAAGAAUGCACUGUGGUCAUAAAUUCAUCCCUUCUCCAAAGAUCUGAUAGGUAAAUUAUCCCUUGUUCUCCUAAUUUGUUUAUGGUAUCAUCCUUUAUGCCCAAAUCAUGUAUCCAUUUUGAUCAUAUUUUGGUAUGGGAUAUGAAGUGUAUGUCUAUGCCUACAUUUAGACAUAUUAUUUUCUGACAUAUUAUUUGACAGGUGUUUCCCAGGGCAGCAGUUAACCCAGAUAAUUAUAUAAUAAUUAUAUGAUAAUAUAUAUAUAUAUAAUAAUUAUAUAAUAUUAAAUAAAGUUCAGG